UACGAAGGGGGCUAGCGUUGCUCGGAAUCACUGGGCGUAAAGGGCGCGUAGGCGGCCUGCUAAGUCGGACGUGAAAUCCCUCGGCUCAACCGAGGAACUGCGUCCGAUACUGGUGGGCUUGAAUCCGGGAGAGGGAUGUGGAAUUCCAGGUGUAGCGGUGAAAUGCGUAGAUAUCUGGAGGAACACCGGUGGCGAAGGCGGCAUCCUGGACCGGUAUUGACGCUGAGGCGCGAAAGCCAGGGGAGCAAACGGG
rnacentral:rRNA from 1 species